AGGGAAGUCUGGGCAUCCCUGCUUAGACUGCUGCCCCCGCGACCCGGCCCCGGAUAAGCGGAAGAUGAUGCUAUGCUAUGCUAUGCUAGGCUCUGCUUACCUUUAUCAUGUGCCGGCUCAGAACCUGUGAAUCUCGUAUAGGUUGUCUGGACCGGGUCGAAUUCCUUCUCCUUUAUUCCAUCUCGGACGAGCCCACAAAAUUGUUGAAGUCUAACACUUCCCCGAGUUUGAUGGAAAGGAGAAUAACACACCAGGAGUCAGGUCAAUUACCUUACCGUAUAUUCCAUUUAUUACAGAAGCUUCUGGAGUGUCGCCGCACAAUGUCUGAAUAUUAACAGUCACAUUAGCAUUAUUUAUACUUCAAACACGCCUAAAAGUGGGGGGUUGAGGUAACCAAGCAUGUGUGCCAUUGGUCCAGUUUAUGUUCUAUACCUUAUAUGUGUAAAUGCAGCACAAACGUCAUCUUUGCUCUUUGUGGUUUCAGUCUUGAAUUCUUAAUUCAGCCCUGCCCAGAUGUGUGUGUGUGUUGUUAAUCUGUCCCUUCUGUUUCCUGUAGUCUGACACACAAGCUCAAUGUGCUCUUGUUCCCCAGCAACAGCCUACAUAAGAUUUCCUGUUUUCUACUUGCAACUUUAAGUUCCAGCUAUGCUACAGACAUUUAACAUUUUGCUUCAAUGCUCACAACAGUUUGACAGCUAAUACACUCAAUGUAUCCACGGGUUGCUUACUAUUUUUGUUUGUUCGUUUAUCCUCAAGUUUGGAUGUUUUGUGCUUCUUCGCAUAUCAACAGUUGAACAGGUGUAUGGUAACAUUGUUACCUAAUUUGUCUAAAUCGUGUUUCUUAGUGUAUCAACAAGCUAGAAUUUUAUAAUAUGUGCUUACUCCUUGUAAUUUUUAUCAACUAAUAUGUAACGUUAGCUAAAUCGUGUUUCUUUGUGUAACGUUAUCCACAUCAUGUGGAUACGUUACUCUUGGCAGUAAAUUUAGAUAGACUAGCUAAACCUGGACUUGUUGCAAUUCCGUUACUGAGGCGUCUUUGUGAAUCCCCAUUGUUCUUAGCUAGCCUGUAUGUGUCUUAUGCUGCUGUUUUUUUAAACCACUUUUAUAAACAAUGCUUUCAGGUGAUUACGUUUUCUGUAGUUUUGUUCCCGGAGGAGGAUGACUGUGUGGCAGUAGUUCCAUGCUUGUGGCUCAAAGUAGGACUUUGCUACUGGCCACCAAACAGCAUCACCAACAGGAAGUCCUUCAGGUGGUGAACAAGUUCUGGCAAACUUGUUGUGGCCGAAGACACCUGGGAGGCUGUCCCUUGUGGAAUCUGAGCAUUAACAAUUACAAUAUGAAUACACGUGAGAGACCGGGCGUGUGUAUCGCCAAAGGAGUGAAAAUCGUUCCAGCGUGGGCCCCUACCACCCCAAGGACGCACAUCUACAACACAACACCCUGUGGAUUGUAGCCCUGGAGGAUGGAGCAAGCACAGUACUCCAAGGCACCAGAGAGGUACUCCACGCCAUCAUGUAGAGGACGGCUACAUAGAACAUUUGGAGAAGAUCAAGUGGCUGACUGAAGAGAAGGUCGAGCUGGCUCUACAAUCUGCUUCUGAUAAACGUCUGACUGAAAAGAAUGUCAAGCCGAGGGUACAGCUGGCUCUACAAUCAUGAGCCAUAAUGAAGAAUCCUUCAAACCACUGAUGCCACUGAUGAGGCUGUCCACAACCAGGUCCUCAGGUACCAGAAAGGGGCAGCUGACCAUGCAAGUGGGAGAUGUCGCAGCGGUACAAGGGACCCGCCGUGAAUAUGAAUGACAUCUCCAGCACAACCAAUAUUGCUGCUAAGCUGCAGUACUGUAUUUCUUUAUUUUUUUUGCUGCUAUGUACAGUGUUAUAUAUAUGAUUGCAUUAUCCUCUUAAUAUAUUUAUAGCGCUGUGUGAAUGUUCUUAAUUCUGAUUGUGGUUGUAGUGUUAUGCCACCAUUCAUAAGCGUAUUGCACUGAUGUAUCUAUGAUAUUCAAUAACUAUUGAUUGCUGCU
ensembl:lncRNA